rnacentral:rRNA from 1 species
UACGGAGGGGGCGAGCGUUAUUCGGAAUUAUUGGGCGUAAAGGGCGCGUAGGCGGCUUCAUAAGUCAAAGGUGAAAUCCCUCGGCUCAACUGAGGAACUGCCUUUGAAACUGUGGAGCUUGAGGCCGGGAGGGGGUAGCGGAAUUCCCAGUGUAGCGGUGAAAUGCGUAGAUAUUGGGAGGAACACCAGUGGCGAAGGCGGCUACCUGGACCGGAACUGACGCUGAGGAGCGAAAGCUAGGGGAGCAAACGGG